AGGACGAACGCUGGCGGCGCGCUUAACACAUGCAAGUCGAGCGAGAACCAGGGCUUCGGCCCUGGGGACAGCGGCGAACGGGUGAGUAACACGUGGGUAAUCUGCCCUCGACAUCGGGAUAGCCCGGGGAAACCCGGAUUAAUACCGAAUAGCCUCCGGAGCCUUCGGGCGCCGGAGAAAAGGUAGCUUAGGCCUCUGGUCGAGGAUGAGCCCGCGGCGGAUUAGCUUGUUGGCGGGGUAACGCCCACAAGGCGACGAUCCGUAGCUGGUCUGAGAGGACGAUCAGCCACACUGGGACUGAGACACGGCCCAGACUCCGUACGGGAGGCAGCAGUGGGGAAUCUUGCGCAAAUGCGGGAACCGUGACGCAGCGACGCCGCGGUGGGGGAAGAGG
rnacentral:rRNA from 1 species